rnacentral:snRNA from 1 species
AAACCUAAGCAAUGUCGGUACCGUAGCCAAUGAAGUUUAUCUGAGGCGCGGUUGUUGCUAGUUGAAAACUACUCCCAAUAGAGUGGUGUAGUGUCAGUUAUUAUGCCAAGCCCAUAUACAUUAUUCUAGCUUGCGGAUAUCCAAUUUUAUUCAUUCUACUUGAGU